CAGACCCACUCAGGACACAGCAUGGACAUGAGGGUCCCCGCUCAGCUCCUGGGGCUCGUGCUGCUCUGGCUCCCAGGUGCCAGAUGUGACAUCCAGAUGACCCAGUCUCCAUCUUCCGUGUCUGCAUCUGUGGGAGACAGAGUCACCAUCACUUGUCGGGCGAGUCAGGGCAUUAGCAGUGCUUUAGCCUGGUAUCAGCAGAAACCAGGGAAACCCGCUAAGCUCCUGAUCUAUGCUGCCUCCAGUUUACAAAGUGGGGUCCCAUCAAGGUUCAGCGGCAGUGGAUCUGGGACAGAUUACACUCUCACCAUCAGCAGCCUGCAGCCUGAAGAUUUUGCAACUUAUUACUGUCAACAGUAUAACAGUGUCCCUCCCACAGUGUUACACACCCGAACAAAAACCCCCCCAGGGAAGCAGAUGUGUGAGGCUGGGCUGCCCCAGCUGCUCCUUCUGAUGCCUCUAUCAGCUGAGAGUGGUCCUCAGAUGCAGCCACACUCUGAUGGUGCUGGUAGAGGGGGACAUGAAGUCACCUCUGCACCCUAA